UACGUAGGAUGCGAGCGUUAUCCGGAUUUAUUGGGUUUAAAGGGUGCGCAGGCGGCACGGCAAGCCGGCGGUCAAAUCGCGGGGCUCAACCCCGCCCAGCCGUCGGAACUGCCGGGCUAGAGUGGGCGAGAAGUGCGCGGAAUGCGUGGUGUAGCGGUGAAAUGCAUAGAUAUCACGCAGAACUCCGAUUGCGAAGGCAGCGCACCGGCGCCCUACUGACGCUCAGGCACGAAAGCGUGGGUAUCGAACAGG
rnacentral:rRNA from 1 species